AACCUGUGAGUCUUAUUUUUCCGUCAUGGGAGACAGCCUGACCUCAAGAAUUCUCCACUCCAACACCAAAACUCUAAUGGAAGAGACAGAUUGGCCUGAGCCAGAGGUCCCCCUCCCUGGACUAAUCAGCGAUGCCUAAGGAUGGGGUCACAGGAUGCAGACAAGCAGCAAAAACCAUGCACCUCAGAAAGCAGACAACCUGGACACACAAACUUCAAACAUCCUGGACUCGGUGUCUGGCACUGAGAUGUUUCUGGCGGCAAUUGAGCUGCACCAAGGUUCGCUGAGAUGUUUU
rnacentral:lncRNA from 1 species